rnacentral:lncRNA from 1 species
ACAAUCUUGUAUCCACUGACUGUCUUGUUAGAUUAACCCAAUAAAUUUCAUUCACUCCACAUACUCAAUCCUAUAGACACCCUUUUAAUCCUUCAAUCAGAGACAGAACUCGAUUUCAUAAAACUGUCAGGAGUGAUUACACCCACUUCAUUAAAAAUUCCGAUUCACCAUUACAAUACUGACUUCACCAACGAUUGCCUCAGUCUUCUCAAAACUCUAUGAAGAAGAAAAAUCCAAUUCUUCGUCUUUUCUUCCCCGACCCGAAGCAUGAAGCUCCUCUCCAAUCCCUUUGAUCUUCAAAAACCUCUAAUGAAAGAAAACUCGUAACCUUUCCAAGAGCUUGAAGCUAGCUC